GAGAGAAAAAAGAGAGAGAGAAAGGAGAAAGGAGAAGAAGUUAGGGUUUGGGAGAGAGGAAGAGCGGAUCACAAACCUCCGUUGGAGAUCGAAAUAGAAGGCAAGAAACUUCGAAGCAAUACUUCUCUCGGUGCAGGAAAAGGAGUUUGGGUGGUGGAUCCACUCAUUCCGACAAGAAAAUCCGAGAACGAACAAAGUUUCUUGAAGUUCUUGGACGAGAAUCGGACGAAAAUCGGAGUUUAGUCGGACUUCGGGUAAACCGGUCGAAAACAGAAAAUGAGAGAGAAAACGUUGGCCGGCGUACGGAGGAAAGAGGCGGACCCGCGAUCGACACGUGGCGAACUGCGACUGGAGAGGCGUGUCCCACAAGCUAGUCGACACGCGUCAGGGUGCGGAUUCGGGUCAACCCGAGUCCGAUCCAGCGCUCUACACGCAACCCAAGAACCACGCGAACCGAAUCGAACCGAAUUGGUCGGUGGCCCGCGACUGGGCGGGAAGCUGCGUGUCAUCGCUCGUGUAGGCGGGUGAGUGACUGUUUUCCCUCCAUUCGACCUCUGUUUGCUUGUUUUUCGCCCGGAUUUCAACUCUGAUCCUAUUUUUAUGUGAAUUAUGACCUAUCAAGAAAAUUCCAGAAUUUUUGGAACCUUUUCCGACAAAUAAUUCGAGCUUGGGAAGGCACGCAUCAACCAUGUAAGUAGCCAUUUGGAUUCCCACGAGCAGUACUUGUAGGAACCGCUAGGAACAAGCAUGCAUGCUACCACCCAUUAACUUAGCUAGCCAGACCUAGUAUAUUAGUAUGGAAACUGCGAAAAUUAAAUGAUUAAGGAAAGCUUGAUAUGAAAUGUUUAUUAAAUUUGUUUGAUUGAGAUUCUGAUGAAGUAUGUAUGCAUGAAGAGGAUGGAAAACUUGUGAAAUCUGCACUCCGGGUAAAGAUGGACAUUAUCUUCCCGUUGAGCAUGUUUGUUAAUAUUGCAUGAACUGCUGCGUGUUAACUCUUCUACGUGAUGAUUGCUUGUGUUGUCUUUCUUGAUGAAUAGGAAGAAAUUACGAGCUUAGAUUAGGGUGCUUGUGAUUAAGUAGGCUAGAUGAGACCCUAGAUUGGGGGACCUCUAGAAUACCGUGCAAUUAGACCCGCGAAAUGAUUACCGGCGAUCCAGAGCCCAGAAUUCCAAACCCGAUAGGUUUAUGAGAUCAGGCACGAGAGUCCUAGAGAUACAUGAAUCCAAGUCUAAGCCACCAAGUUCCACCCUAGAAAGAAUAAUAGGUCACCACGGUAACUGUAGGUAGCCCGCUAGAGUUGAGCAG